CCUACGGGGGGCUGCAGUGGGGAAUAUUGGACAAUGGGGGCAACCCUGAUCCAGCCAUGCCGCGUGUGUGAAGAAGGCCCUCGGGUUGUAAAGCACUUUCAGUGAGGAAGAACGCCUGGUGGUGAAUACCCAUCAGGAAAGACAUCACUCACAGAAGAAGCACCGGCUAACUCCGUGCCAGCAGCCGCGGUAAUACGGAGGGUGCGAGCGUUAAUCGGAAUUACUGGGCGUAAAGCGCGCGUAGGUGGCUUGAUAAGCCGGUUGUGAAAGCCCCGGGCUCAACCUGGGAACGGCAUCCGGAACUGUCAAGCUAGAGUGCAGGAGAGGAAGGUAGAAUUCCCUGUGUAGCGGUGAAAUGCGUAGAGAUCGGGAGGAAUACCAGUGGCGAAGGCGGCCUUCUGGACUGACACUGACACUGAGGUGCGAAAGCGUGGGUAGCAAACAGGAUUAGAUACCCUGGUAGUC
rnacentral:rRNA from 1 species